rnacentral:rRNA from 1 species
UACAGAGGGUGCGAGCGUUAAUCGGAAUUACUGGGCGUAAAGCGCGCGUAGGCGGCUUGCAAGUCGGGUGUGAAAUCCCCAGGCUUAACCUGGGAACUGCAUUCGAGACUGCAUUGCUAGAGUAUGGGAGAGGGAAGUGGAAUUUCCGGUGUAGCGGUGAAAUGCGUAGAUAUCGGAAGGAACAUCAGUGGCGAAGGCGGGUCUCUGGACAGUUCCUGACGCUGAGGCACGAAGGCCAGGGGAGCAAAUGGG